UUUGUACUAUACCUUGUCUUGACAGCUUUAAACUUUUAUGCCAAUGGAUCAUACAAAUGGCUUUGUGAUGGCUAAGGCAUCUUUUAGCAAAUGCCUACAUGAAGUCGCUGACGCUCCUGAAUACCCCAGCUGUUUAAAAAAAAUGUGUUAAGUUCCCUUUGCAUUAAACACAAAAUCAUUAUAAAUAAAUAUGUGAUGCCAAUCUAAUAAUAACAUAGUGGAUGCUCAAUUUGGGGGUGCAUCGUAUGACUUGUACAUAUGGAACCAGUGCAAUAAGACCACUUGAGGAAAACCUGCCCAAUAGGGACCGCUGUUGGUUGUUAGGUGACCAAUGUUUGCAUGAUGACCCUCAUCUUGGGAGCUGCUCCUAGAUCCCAUGAAGAUAUGCACAACAUUGCUGUGUCAGAAAUACGGUGGAGCCUUGUAGUUGGGUGCAUAUUGUAAAAUGUUUCCUCACUCCAAAACCAUGAACUCUGGUUUCCUAAACCCUCAAGCUAUGCAGCCGAAGGAGGAGACUUAUCACAGGAGAAUCACUAAUAAUUUUGAAGAAGUGAAGAGCUUAACAAUGUUUCAACCAACACCUAAAGAAGCUUUCACUUGGCUGUUAGAUCAAGGGCUGGAUACAGAAAACAGUAAUCCUUGUGAUGGCAGUAUUGUCCAAGGAUUCCUCACUCAAAACCAUGAUAACAAGUUGCUAGAACCCUCAAGCUAUGCAGACAAAGGACUGGAUAUAUUUUUUCGUGACCAAGCCUUCUGUAUAAUUAUUUAUACUUAAACCAUACAAAGCACUAUCUAGCCCCAAAGUAGGCAUACAGAGUAGCUUGUGUUGUGGGUACUAAGAUAGUUGAUAUUAUAAUAUUCAUUUACAUUUAUAUACUACCUAUAAAUACUUAUAUAAUGUAUAAAUACACACACACUGGAAAAAACCCAUGCUCUUCACACAAAUAUUUUCCAGGUGUGGGAAUCGAACCCAUGACCGUGGAUGCAGGAGCACUACUUACUGCGCCACGCGUAUGUGUUUUUAUUUUGAAGCAAAUUAUUAAAGUUGAUAAUUCAAAUUGUA